AGGGCGUACGGCGGAUGCCUAGGCUUUGAGAGGCGAUGAAGGACGUGAUAAGCUGCGAUAAGCUUCGGGGAGUGGCACAUACACAUUAUAUCCGAAGAUUUCCGAAUGGGGCAACCCGUCAGGUUGAAGGCCUGUCACUCUAAUUUAUUAGAGAGCGAACGUGGGGAACUGAAACAUCUAAGUACCCAUAGGAAAAGAAAUCAAUUGAGAUUCCGUAAGUAGUGGCGAGCGAACGCGGAUUAGCCCUAAAGACUUUAUAUUUUUAGUAGAAUAACCUGGAAAGGUUAACCGUAGAGGGUGAUAGUCCCGUAAGCGAAAUUUUUAUAUAGUUGAUAACGAGUAAGGCGGAACACGAGAAAUUCUGUCCGAAUAUGGGAGGACCAUCUUCCAAGGCUAAAUACUCCUCAAAGACCGAUAGUGAACUAGUACUGUGAAGGAAAGGUGAAAAGCAUUUCGAAUAGAAAGUUGAAAUAGAACCUGAAACCGUACGCCUACAAGCGGUCGGAGCACGUAAGUGUGACGGCGUGCCUUUUGCAUAAUGAGCCUACGAGUUAAUGUUGCUGGCAAGGUUAAGCACUUCAGGUGCGGAGCCGUAGCGAAAGCGAGUCUGAAUAGGGCGCUAUAGUCAGUAGUAUUAGACGCGAAACCUUGUGAUCUACCCAUGGGCAGGUUGAAGCUUUGGUAACACAAAGUGGAGGACCGAACCGGUUGACGUUGAAAAGUCUUCGGAUGACCUGUGGGUAGGGGUGAAAGGCCAAUCAAACUGGGAAAUAGCUCGUACUCCCCGAAAUGCAUUUAGGUGCAGCGUUUAGUGAAGUAUAUUAGAGGUAGAGCUACUGAUUGGAUGCGGGGGCUUCACCGCCUACCAAUUCCUGACAAACUCCGAAUGCUAAUAUAUGUUUCUAGGCAGUGAGGGCAUGGGUGCUAAGGUCCAUGUCCGAGAGGGAAAGAACCCAGACCAUCAGCUAAGGUCCCCAAAUAUAUGCUAAGUUGAAAAAACGCGGUUGGAUUGCAUAGACAGCUAGGAUGUUAGCUUGGAAGCAGCUAUUCAUUUAACGAGUGCGUAACAGCUCACUAGUCGAGCGAUCCGGCAUGGAUAAUAAUCGGGCAUAAGCAUAUUACCGAAGCUAUGGAUUACAUCUUAUGAUGUACUGGUAGGGGAGCAUUCUAGCGGCGCAGAAGUCGUACCGGCAAGGUAUGGUGGAGCUUCUAGAAAAGAAAAUGUAGGCAUGAGUAACGAUAAAAUAAGUGAGAAACUUAUUCGCCGUAAGACUAAGGAUUCCUCAGCUAUGCUAAUCAGCUGAGGGUUAGUCGGGACCUAACACGAACCCUAACGGGGUAGUGGAUGGCAAACGGGUUAAUAUUCCCGUACCUGCACUCAAUAAAAGUGACGAAUGAUUGUAGGAGGUGCGUACUGACGGAAUAGUACGUUGAACCUACGUAAAGUAGGGAUAGUACACGAAGACUUCGGUUAGAGUGAUAAUCCUCUGAAAAUUGUUCCAAGAAAUAGCGAGAUGUGCAGCCCGUACCGUAAACCGACACAGGUGGUCGAGGAGAGUAUCCUAAGGCGCUCGAGCGAUUCAUGGUUAAGGAAUUAGGCAAAAUAGACCUGUAACUUCGGGAGAAAGGUCGCUGACAGCAAUGUCAGCCUCAGUAAAAAGGCCCAGGCGACUGUUUAUCAAAAACACAGGACUCUGCAAAAUAGAAAUAUGACGUAUAGGGUCUGACACCUGCCCGGUGCUGGAAGGUUAAGGAAGGGGGUUAGAGGUAACUCGAAGCUCUUAACUGAAGCCCCAGUAAACGGCGGCCGUAACUAUAACGGUCCUAAGGUAGCGAAAUUCCUUGUCGGGUAAGUUCCGACCUGCACGAAUGGUGUAACGAUCUGGGCACUGUCUCAACCAUGAUCUCGGUGAAAUUGUAGUAUCGGUGAAGAUGCCGGUUAAUCGCAACGGGACGAAAAGACCCUGUGAACCUUUACUAUAGCUUUGUAUUGACUUCGGGUAAAUAAUGUGUAGGAUAGGUGGGAGACUAUGAAGCAGUAUCGCUAGGUAUUGUGGAGUCAUUGUUGAAAUACCACCCUUUAUUUACUUGGAGCCUAACUUCUUUAUAGAAGGACAGUGCAUGGUGGGUAGUUUGACUGGGGUGGUCGCCUCCAAAAGAGUAACGGAGGCUUUCA
rnacentral:rRNA from 1 species